rnacentral:rRNA from 1 species
UACGAAGGGGGCUAGCGUUGUUCGGAUUUACUGGGCGUAAAGCGCACGUAGGCGGAUUGUUAAGUCGGGGGUGAAAUCCUGGAGCUCAACUCCAGAAUUGCCUUCGAUACUGGCUUUCUAGAGGCUGGAAGAGGUUAGUGGAAUUCCCAGUGUAGAGGUGAAAUUCGUAGAUAUUGGGAAGAACACCAGUGGCGAAGGCGGCUAACUGGUCCAGAUCUGACGCUGAGGUGCGAAAGCGUGGGGAGCAAACAGGGAU